UCUGGCUGGUGGUUUUCAGCAGCUCUUGUGUCUGCGGUUGCUAUUUAUUUCACAGUUGGCCUCCUAGAAAUGCUUCCAUGUGAAAGUUUUAUCUGGUUGAAAGGAGGGACAGACCAGUUGUAGUACCAGGACUUCAUGAAACCUUGUGGUCCUGGGCACAUCACUGCUGUCUGUGUGCAAAUGCAGGAGGAGAUGAACGGCUCAAGGAAAGGUGCAGUCCACAGGCAGCAGAUCCACAGCCUGUGUGUUUUGGAACCCCUGUGAGCAGUGCUCAGGGAGCAUAGCUCUGUAUUUCCAUUUGGGAUUUCUCAAACAUUCUUCUUAUCUGUCACAUAUGGGAGCAACCAAAUCAAUUCAUAAUCCUGAACAGGAGUAGGAAGGACAACAUUACUGGAAAAACUGUUUUAAGUUGAUUGGGAACUGUUUGGCGCUGUUUGCUCCCUGCCUGUCAAAACACAAAUCAUUGCGAGUCAAGCAGCAUCUUCAUUUGCAUUCACGCUUUGCUGUCAGCUACUUUCCUGGGUGGAAAAGGAAGCAGGAUAUACUCCAGAGGCUACAGAUCUGCAAGAAUACUAGAAUAACUUGUCUGACUUUUGUUCACUAAUGGGUGCCUCGGGCAUCUGAGAUUUGGGAAGAGA